rnacentral:misc_RNA from 1 species
UUCUCUUGAUGAUGAUGAUAUGAGAGAAUCUGGCAAAUUUCUUCGAUCAUCAGAGAGCAAGAACAUUCUUUUUGGACAGCGAGUAAGAAUUAAAGACCCAAACUUUCAAGCCAAUGCUAAUUCUUUUGAGGCACCAAAGUCUUUGCCAAGAAAUUUUGCAAUUUUCCCUCAUACCCAUACCAAAUCUCCACUUCAGAAGGGCAGCUCUAAUGUUAUUUUUGAGAUUGGAGAAGCCCCAUUUGCACCUGAGCACUUUGGAAAAAUCCGGUCUUGUUCACUGGACUCCUGCAAGUCCUUUUCCACACUAUCCCGAAU